CUGCCUCUUCUUCUGCUGUUCCUCCCCGUGGCCGACGUCGGAGGCGUCCCCGCCGCGGUGCUUCUCCGCUGGAUCAGGUCCCUCGUCGCUUGCGUCGCCGUAUUAAUUUUAAUUAGGAGCCUGUAAAAUUUUUCAUUCAUCAUUUUUGCAAUUUUGAAUAAAUAUCUUUUUACCUUUUUCCUUUAUUUGCCUUACACCUUUACUUUGAAGUACGUUAGUGUAACCGAAAUUUUUCUUGGUCAGUACCAUAUUCUUUUUUCCUUUUCUAAAGGUGUCGGAUUUUUGGCAAGUCGAUCUCAUUUCUCCCUGGAAAUGUCGACCUUCCUAAAAAUGUCGAUCCCACCUUUUUUCUGAGGAAGUCGAUGACUGCUGAUCCUCUUCUAAAGGUGUCGAAUCUUUGGCAAGUCGAUCUCAUUUCUCCCUGGAAAUGUCG
rnacentral:lncRNA from 1 species